CAGUCCUGAACUAUCGUCAAUAGUUCAGUUAAAAAACUUGCUUCGCCCGAACAAUUCCAGCCAAUGCUUAAAACUCAAAGGACCUGGGGGGGCUUUAUAUCCCUUUAAAGGAGCCUGGUCUGUUAUUCAUUAACCCCCGCUCUACCUCACACCUCUUGGUCAAUUCAUAUACCGUCCCGUCCUCCAAACAAAAACAACAA
rnacentral:rRNA from 1 species